rnacentral:rRNA from 1 species
UACAGAGGGGGCAAGCGUUGUUCGGAAUUACUGGGCGUAAAGGGCGCGUAGGCGGCCUUCUAAGUCGAACGUGAAAUCCCCGGGCUCAACCCGGGAACUGCGUCCGAUACUGGAAGGCUUGAAUCCGGGAGAGGGAUGCGGAAUUCCAGGUGUAGCGGUGAAAUGCGCAGAUAUCAGGAGGAACACCGGUGGCGAAGGCGGAUCUCUGGGCCGUAACUGACGCUGAGGAGCGAAAGCAUGGGGAGCGAACAGG